GGGGAGAUCGCAUAGCCCGGUCGAGUGCGCCCGCCUGCUAAGUGGGUAAGGGGUUAACAGCUCCUUCGAGGGUUCAAAUCCCUCUCUCCCCG
rnacentral:tRNA from 1 species